UACGUAGGGCGCAAGCGUUGUCCGGAUUUAUUGGGCGUAAAGAGCGUGUAGGCGGCCAAGUAAGUCUGCUGUGAAAACUCGAGGCUUAACCUCGAGCUGUCGGCGGAAACUAUUUGGCUAGAGUCCGGAAGAGGAGAAUGGAAUUCCCGGUGUAGCGGUGAAAUGCGCAGAUAUCGGGAAGAACACCCGUGGCGAAGGCGGUUCUCUGGGACGGUACUGACGCUGAGACGCGAAAGCGUGGGGAGCGAACAGG
rnacentral:rRNA from 1 species